rnacentral:lncRNA from 1 species
CCGCAUUAAAGGCCCUAAUUCAAAUACAAAUAUCCAUAUAUAUAACAAGUGACUUAAUAUUUUUACAACUGCAGAGUUCAAUAACAAACAGAAAUAAAUAACUUCUUAUACAUAAUGCUGACAAUGUAAAUAAUUAUUGGAAUCAGGAAAUUACUUUUCUAGCUUCGCAGUGAAGGAAACAGAGCUUUAGCUGGGACAAAGAAGAAUCUACUUCCUGGAAAAAUUAAGAAAAAGAAAUAUGAGUUUUAUAAUGAAUAAUAAUUACGGCAUAACACAAGCAUUCACACGAAAUGCUUCCUAAAAUACUAAAAUGAACACAACUAGUCAAACAUAUGGCACAACAUCAGCACCCACAGAGAAGUACACCUUUACAUAAUCAAACAAGUGGAGAUUGGUCUGUGGCGUCACCGAAACCCCCGAUGAGUCAUCCUCACACAUGGCCCAUCCUCUCAACUGUGUGCACUAUGGAGCCGAUCCCUAAUGCAUGGCCGACUAGUCUAAUCCUCAAUUGACCAACCCUCUCAUUUUUUUUCUAUUCUCUCUUUUUUUUUCCAUUACCAAUAGGAGGUCACUCUGUGAUUUAUCCAUAUCAAUCAUCUCAUCAGAUGCACACGGGGGCGCCGAUCUCUCCAUACACGGCCGACGGUAUCGUAGAACGCCCUUAUAAACCCAUUGGUGACCCAGUUCAUCCCAAUUCCACGCAAACAAGGCAUAUCAUCAUCACAACACAUCUAAUCAAGUAUUGCAUUUAAAUGCAAGCACAUUAAAUAAACAAACAUUGUUAUCUAGAUGUUCAAAUAUUCACAUAUAUAAAUCAAGUACAAAAUAAUGAAUAUUUACUCUCUAAACUAAAUAAAUAAAUAAAUAAGUAAUAAAUAAAUGAGAAAGAACUUGUAACAUCGUAUAAUAAUGUAUGCAUGCACGAUGCAAAUGAUAAUAUACUAUUUAUUAUAACUCAUAACAAUAAGAAAGGGAAUACUCUAAUCGUAGUUCUGAUUUGCAAAAGUAGAAGACGAUCUUGAAUAAUCCAUACAAAGUAGAAUUGAAGGGAAAGAAAAGAAUGAAUUAAAGAUAUGGCCCACAGCUCGCGUGGAACUAAAAUAACUCAAAUAGUUGGGCUUUACUUAAGAGUUUUUUAUAUUAUAUGAUAUGGGCUUAGCCUUAGGUUGCAGCACCUGUAUUUUGGUGUAUUCUUCUUUCUUUCCUUGGUCUUUCGUUCUGUCAUAUUCCUAAUAAUGGGAAAGACAAGGUAAUGGUUAAGGUACUUUAGAUUAAGAUCAAAGGAAGAGGCAGAGAAGUAGGGUUUUGUUCCUUAAGGGUUUGAUGUAUAUUGAAACUGAAAAACCAAGGGGAAAGGAUGUUGAGAAUGACGCUUGUGCCUUCCUUCUCUUCGGGUUGCUAUAUCAGUCGCAAUAGUCCUUAUUAGUAAAGAAAUCAUUCUAAAUAAAUCUAACAACCUUUUUAUUAAGUAUAAUCAUUUAAGAUUCUGCCAAAAUUUCGGCAAAACCUCCCCUAAAAAUAGAACUUUCUACUUGUUUAGACAAUAUCAAAUAACACUAAAUACUUUUCAAUCAAUACACAUGCAGCCCAUCUGUCAGGCAAUCAGACAAAUUUAUUUCCCUUUCUCCAUCCAAAGCAAUCACAUUAAUAUUUAAUCGUCAAUGCCAAACUUUAACUUACCAUAUAAUGUUAAGCAAAUAAAUAAAUAAGCAAAUAAGUGAAAAUAACUAUUUGCUUAACCUCAAUUCUACUAGUUAAAACUAUCCAACUGUACACUCUUAACAAUCAUAUACAUCUAUAACUUAUAUAUUCUUUGUCAUAAUUAACUGAGGUCUCAUGAUUCAGCUUAUUGACCUGUAAAUCAUUAUCCUCAUCAAGCAAAAUUGUAUGUACUAACUCAUUUUAACUGCGUAUCAAUUAUAAUUGAACAUUUUCACACAUCAAAACAAUACGAAAAUCUUAAAAGUACACUUGUUAUAUGUAUCUGCCCUUCUAAAACAACAAAAGAUCUCAAGGUAGUUGCUGCCAAUAUACAAAAAUUCAGAGUUCUCUUAUACUGAAAUCAUAGAUUACCCACCAACUAACCAAUCCCUUAUAAAAAUUAAACUUACAGCACCAUAUGUACUAUAUCCAGCAAUACUUUAUAGGAAUAAUUAAAAAUAGUUGCUGCAUUUUGUUACCAAACCGCUGCAAGUCUACACCCGUUAUUCUCAUGGGUCCAGGUCCAAACAACCACAAAUUGUGUUUUUGAAUUAGUCAAUUAUUUCAGUUAUUUAUACUUAGUUGUUGGUGUGAAUAUUUCCUGUUUUGUAGGAGGGUGUUCCUCUACUUUCCGUUUCAUGUUGUUUGUUGAGGAGGGUGUUCCUCCAUGUUGAAGUAGUGCUUCUUUGAUGUAGGAUGCUGUUAUACUUCCUUUCUGUAUUUAAACAAUAAAAACAUCAAUGAAGGGUAUGCUUCCAAAAAGCAAUUCAAGUUUUGAGCUCUUCAAGUCUCAAGAGGCUUACAGGUUCCCUCCUUAGAGCCUGACUUCCCUAACACCAUAGGUCGCCACAAGAAAAACCCUAACCCAAACACAUAAACACCUACCACACCUCUAACCCAUCGCCCCAUAACCAGAUCCAUAGCCCGGGACUCUAACACAUUUCAAGAGAAUUCUCAUUUUUAUUCUUUCUCGAUCAAUAAACCUUUACAUUAACAACAAAUUAUGAAAGACAUAGUUCUACCACCAAAUAUGGACUUAACUCAACAAAAACUAUAAUCUUCUUUAGCUACAGGCUGCCACUUUAAAUUCACUACUCAAUUCUAAUCUAAAGCUAAUUAAUCACUUCAAAACACUCACUAGAAUGUGUUUUAACUAUAGUUAGUAAAGAAAAUCAAACCUUUUCCUAAAAUUUGCAUAUAUAGAAUAUCUGGGAAUUUAAUCCUUACUCUAGCUUGACUAAUACAUGAAAUUCCAUAUCCUAGCAUGAAGAAUUCACAAAAUAUGCAAAAAGGAAGCUAGAGAUCAGCUUACCUAGCUGUAAAACGAGCUGGAAAUUGGAAUUUUUCGGUUAAAAUGACCGAAAUUUGCUCUACUNNNNNNNNNNNNNNNNNNNNNNNNNNNGUGGGCCAGCCACGGGAGGUCGCUAGAGGGGAUGGAAGAGCUCAACCGGCCGAUCCUUGGCUGGUUUCGCCGGAGAAGCAGAGAAACGAUGAGUCGACUGUCCCAAACUUUUUCAUUUUCAUGUAGACAAAAAUAAAUUAAAAAUUUAUAUUCCUUUGGCAAUUAUCUAAUUGCUAAAUUACUUUCUGCCCUAUAUAGAUUGCCUUUAAUAAGCCUUAGUGUAUUAAUAUAUUGACUAAUAAGAUUGAGUUAAAAAAAGUUGCGAAUUCAAAAAUAGGAAAAUAUCAAAAGAAU